rnacentral:rRNA from 1 species
CAAUAGCGUAUAUUAAAGUUGUUGCAGUUAAAAAGCUCGUAGUUGGAUUUCUGGUGGGAGCGAUCGGUCUGGCGCUUAGCGCGAGUACUUGCAUCGUUUCCGGCCAUCCUUGGGGAGAGUCUGUCUGGCAUUAGGUUGUCGGGCAGAGGAUCCUCAUCGUUUACUGUGAAAAAAUUAGAGUGUUCAAAGCAGGCUUAUGCCGUUGAAUAUAUUAGCAUGGAAUAAUAAGAUAGGACUUUGGUACUAUUUUGUUGGUUUGCGCACCAAAGUAAUGAUUAAUAGGGACAGUUGGGGGUAUUCGUAUUCCGUUGUCAGAGGUGAAAUUCUUGGAUUUACGGAAGACGAACUACUGCGAAAGCAUUUACCAAGGAUGUUUUCAUUAA